CCCUUCCAGAUUCCUUACCCCUCCGAUCUAAAUAUUGAUCUGAGUGGUUAAAAGAGGAGGAAAGGUAAAACUAAACUUUUACCUUUAAUAACAUACAAGU
rnacentral:snoRNA from 1 species